rnacentral:rRNA from 1 species
CCGGUUCACUUUAACACUGAGGCGUGACGACGAGGCACUACGGUGCUGAAGCAACAAAUGCCCUGCUUCCAGGAAAAGCCUCUAAGCAUCAGGUAACAUCAAAUCGUACCCCAAACCGACACAGGUGGUCAGGUAGAGAAUACCAAGGCGCUUGAGAGAACUCGGGUGAAGGAACUAGGCAAAAUGGUGCCGUAACUUCGGGAGAAGGCACGCUGACACGUAGGUGAAGUGAUUUACUCAUGGAGCUGAAGUCAGUCGAAGAUACCAGCUGGCUGCAACUGUUUAUUAAAAACACAGCACUGUGCAAACACGAAAGUGGACGUAUACGGUGUGACGCCUGCCCGGUGCCGGAAGGUUAAUUGAUGGGGUCAGCGCAAGCGAAGCUCCUGAUCGAAGCCCCGGUAAACGGCGGCCGUAACUAUAACGGUCCUAAGGUAGCGAAAUUCCUUGUCGGGUAAGUUCCGACCUGCACGAAUGGCGUAAUGAUGGCCAGGCUGUCUCCACCCGAGACUCAGUGAAAUUGAACUCGCUGUGAAGAUGCAGUGUACCCGCGGCAAGACGGAAAGACCCCGUGAACCUUUACUAUAGCUUGACACUGAACAUUGAGCCUUGAUGUGUAGGAUAGGUGGGAGGCUUUGAAGUGUGGACGCCAGUCUGCAUGGAGCCGACCUUGAAAUACCACCCUUUAAUGUUUGAUGUUCUAACGUGGACCCGUUACCCGGGUUGCGGACAGUGUCUGGUGGGUAGUUUGACUGGGGCGGUCUCCUCCUAAAGAGUAACGGAGGAGCACGAAGGUUGGCUAAUCCUGGUCGGACAUCAGGAGGUUAGUGCAAUGGCAUAAGCCAGCUUGACUGCGAGCGUGACGGCGCGAGCAGGUGCGAAAGCAGGUCAUAGUGAUCCGGUGGUUCUGAAUGGAAGGGCCAUCGCUCAACGGAUAAAAGGUACUCCGGGGAUAACAGGCUGAUACCGCCCAAGAGUUCAUAUCGACGGCGGUGUUUGGCACCUCGAUGUCGGCUCAUCACAUCCUGGGGCUGAAGUAGGUCCCAAGGGUAUGGCUGUUCGCCAUUUAAAGUGGUACGCGAGCUGGGUUUAGAACGUCGUGAGACAGUUCGGUCCCUAUCUGCCGUGGGCGCUGGAGAACUGAGGGGGGCUGCUCCUAGUACGAGAGGACCGGAGUGGACGCAUCACUGGUGUUCGGGUUGUCAUGCCAAUGGCACUGCCCGGUAGCUAAAUGCGGAAGAGAUAAGUGCUGAAAGCAUCUAAGCACGAAACUUGCCCCGAGAUGAGUUCUCCCUGAGACUUAAAGUCUCCUGAAGGAACGUUGAAGACGACGACGUUGAUAGGCCGGGUGUGUAAGCG